GACGAGCGCUGGCGGCGUGCUUAACACAUGCAAGUCGAGCGGAAAGGCCCUUCGGGGUACUCGAGCGGCGAACGGGUGAGUAACACGUGAGUAACCUGCCCUAGGCUUUGGGAUAACCCCGGGAAACCGGGGCUAAUACCGGAUAUGACCUGGUGCCGCAUGGUGUUGGGUGGAAAGUUUUUUCGGCCUGGGAUGGGCUCGCGGCCUAUCAGCUUGUUGGUGGGGUGAUGGCCUACCAAGGCGAUGACGGGUAGCCGGCCUGAGAGGGCGACCGGCCACACUGGGACUGAGACACGGCCCAGACUCCUACGGGAGGCAGCAGUGGGGAAUAUUGCACAAUGGGCGGAAGCCUGAUGCAGCGACGCCGUGUGAGGGAUGAAGGCCUUCGGGUUGUAAACCUCUUUCAGCAGGGACGAAGCGUGAGUGACGGUACCUGCAGAAGAAGCGCCGGCCAACUACGUG
rnacentral:rRNA from 1 species